AUGCGUGUGCCUAAGGAGAGGGGCGGCAUGGGCUUCAGAGAUUUGCACUGUUUUAAUUUGACCCUUUUGGCUAAGCAAUGUUGCAUACUGUUAAGUGAACCAGAUUCUUUAUGUGCUAGAGUUAAGGCCAAAUACUUCCCUAAUGAAGACCUCCUCAAUUGCAGCCUGAAGAAAGGGAGCUCAUACACAUGGCAGAGUUUACGGAGUGGUUGUUCUCAAAUUAAGAUCUGGGAAGAUUCAUGGAUACCGAGCAGUCCUACAUGA
rnacentral:rRNA from 1 species